rnacentral:rRNA from 1 species
AUUGAACGCUGGCGGCAGGCUUAACACAUGCAAGUCGAACGAGUGGCGGACGGGUGAGUAAUGCUUGGGAAUCUAGCUUAUGGAGGGGGAUAACUACGGGAAACUGUCGCUAAUACCGCGUACCAUAAGAUGAACCCAUAUGGGAUUAGCUUGUAGGUGGGGUAACGGCCCACCUAGGCGACGAUCCCUAGCUGGUCUGAGAGGAUGAUCAGCGACACCGGGACUGAGACACGGCCCAGACUCCUACGGGAGGCAGCAGUGGGGAAUAUGGCACAAGGGGCGCAAGCCUGACGCAGCCAUGCCGCGUGAAUGAAGAAGGCCUUCGGGUGGUAAAGUACUUUCAGUCAGGAGGCGUUACCGACAGAAGAAGCACCGGCUAACUCCGUGCCAGCAGCCGCGGUAAUUC